UGGGGAAUAUUGGACAAUGGGCGAAAGCCUGAUCCAGCCAUGCCGCGUGUGUGAAGAAGGUCUUCGGAUUGUAAAGCACUUUAAGUUGGGAGGAAGGGCAUUAACCUAAUACGUUAGUGUUUUGACGUUACCGACAGAAUAAGCACCGGCUAACUCUGUGCCAGCAGCCGCGGUAAUACAGAGGGUGCAAGCGUUAAUCGGAAUUACUGGGCGUAAAGCGCGCGUAGGUGUUUUGUUAAGUUGGAUGUGAAAUCCCCGGGCUCAACCUGGGAACUGCAUUCACAACUGACUGACUAGAGUAUGGUAGAGGGUGGUGGAAUUUCCUGUGUAGCGGUGAAAUGCGUAGAUAUAGGAAGGAACACCAGUGGCGAAGGCGACCACCUGGACUAAUACUGACACUGAGGUGCGAAAGCGUGGGUAGCAAACA
rnacentral:rRNA from 1 species